UACGGAGGGGGCUAGCGUUGUUCGGAAUUACUGGGCGUAAAGCGCGCGUAGGCGGCUUUGUAAGUUAGAGGUGAAAGCCCGGAGCUUAACUCCGGAAUUGCCUUUAAGACUGCAUCGCUAGAAUUGUGGAGAGGUAAGUGGAAUUCCGAGUGUAGAGGUGAAAUUCGUAGAUAUUCGGAAGAACACCGGUGGCGAAGGCGGGUCUCUGGGCCGUAACUGACGCUGAGGAGCGAAAGCAUGGGGAGCGAACAGG
rnacentral:rRNA from 1 species